rnacentral:rRNA from 1 species
GACGAACGCUGGCGGCGUGCUUAACACAUGCAAGUCGAACGGAAAGGCCCUGCUUUUGUGGGGUGCUCGAGUGGCGAACGGGUGAGUAACACGUGAGUAACCUGCCCUUGACUUUGGGAUAACUUCAGGAAACUGGGGCUAAUACCGGAUAGGAGCUCCUGCUGCAUGGUGGGGGUUGGAAAGUUUCGGCGGUUGGGGAUGGACUCGCGGCUUAUCAGCUUGUUGGUGGGGUAGUGGCUUACCAAGGCUUUGACGGGUAGCCGGCCUGAGAGGGUGACCGGCCACAUUGGGACUGAGAUACGGCCCAGACUCCUACGGGAGGCAGCAGUGGGGAAUAUUGCACAAUGGGCGGAAGCCUGAUGCAGCAACGCCGCGUGCGGGAUGACGGCCUUCGGGUUGUAAACCGCUUUCGCCUGUGACGAAGCGUGAGUGACGGUAAUGGGUAAAGAAGCACCGGCUAACUACGUGCCAGCAGCCGCGGUGAUACGUAGGGUGCGAGCGUUGUCCGGAUUUAUUGGGCGUAAAGGGCUCGUAGGUGGUUGAUCGCGUCGGAAGUGUAAUCUUGGGGCUUAACCCUGAGCGUGCUUUCGAUACGGGUUGACUUGAGGAAGGUAGGGGAGAAUGGAAUUCCUGGUGGAGCGGUGGAAUGCGCAGAUAUCAGGAGGAACACCAGUGGCGAAGGCGGUUCUCUGGGCCUUUCCUGACGCUGAGGAGCGAAAGCGUGGGGAGCGAACAGGCUUAGAUACCCUGGUAGUCCACGCUGUAAACGGUGGGUACUAGGUGUGGGGUCCAUUCCACGGGUUCCGUGCCGUAGCUAACGCUUUAAGUACCCCGCCCGGGGAGUACGGCCGCAAGGCUUAAACUCAAAGGAAUUGACGGGGCCCCGCACAAGCGGCGGAGCAUGCGGAUUAAUUCGAUGCAACGCGUAGAACCUUACCUGGGUUUGACAUGGAUCGGGAGCGCUCAGAGAUGGGUGUGCCUCUUUUGGGGUCGGUUCACAGGUGGUGCAUGGCUGUCGUCAGCUCGUGUCGUGAGAUGUUGGGUUAAGUCCCGCAACGAGCGCAACCCUUGUUCACUGUUGCCAGCACGUUAUGGUGGGGACUCAGUGGAGACCGCCGGGGUCAACUCGGAGGAAGGUGGGGAUGACGUCAAGUCAUCAUGCCCCUUAUGUCCAGGGCUUCACGCAUGCUACAAUGGCUGGUACAGAGAGUGGCGAGCCUGUGAGGGUGAGCGAAUCUCGGAAAGCCGGUCUCAGUUCGGAUUGGGGUCUGCAACUCGACCUCAUGAAGUCGGAGUCGCUAGUAAUCGCAGAUCAGCAACGCUGCGGUGAAUACGUUCCCGGGGCU